rnacentral:tRNA from 2 species
UGCGGGGUGGAGCAGUUCGGUAGCUCGCUGGGCUCAUAACCCAGAGGUCGCAGGUUCAAAUCCUGCCCCCGCUACGA